rnacentral:rRNA from 1 species
CCUACGGGAGGCAGCAGUGAGGAAUAUUGGACAAUGGGCGCAAGCCUGAUCCAGCCAUGCUGCGUGCAGGAUGACGGUCCUAUGGAUUGUAAACUGCUUUUGCACAGGAAGAAACAACAUUACGUGUAAUGUCUUGACGGUACUGUGAGAAUAAGGAUCGGCUAACUCCGUGCCAGCAGCCGCGGUAAUACGGAGGAUCCAAGCGUUAUCCGGAAUCAUUGGGUUUAAAGGGUCCGUAGGCGGUUUAGUAAGUCAGUGGUGAAAGCCCAUCGCUCAACGGUGGAACGGCCAUUGAUACUGCUAGACUUGAAUUAUUAGGAAGUAACUAGAAUAUGUAGUGUAGCGGUGAAAUGCUUAGAGAUUACAUGGAAUACCAAUUGCGAAGGCAGGUUACUACUAAUGGAUUGACGCUGAUGGACGAAAGCGUGGGUAGCGAACAGGAUUAGAUACCCUGGUAGUCCACGCCGUAAACGAUGGAUACUAGCUGUUGGGAGANAUAUCNUGNGAGAGAAGAGAGAAGUAUACCUAACCGUCGGGUAGGUUAGGUUCGUCGAAGAAGUAGAAGACAAANAGAAGUUAGUUACGGCGUUGAGAGAGCCGACGGACGACCGACGAAGGGGAAGGAAGGAG